rnacentral:misc_RNA from 1 species
AACUUUCAACAACGGAUCACUAGGCUCUCGCAUCGAUGAAGAACGCGGCGAAAUGCGAUAAGUAAUGUGAAUUGCAGAUUUCAGUGAAUCAUCGAAUCUUUGAACGCACCUUGCGCUCCUGGGUCUUCCUAGGAGCAUGCCUGUUUGAGUGUCCAGAACAUACAUCAACCCCGAAACAUUCGUGUUGAAAGGGUUGGAGUUGGAGGCCUGCCGUGUUCCACGGCUCCUCUCAAAUGUGUUAGCUGGCUGUUGCUGCGUCUCGCAUGUUGGCUUGAUAUUUAUGUCUACGCCUCUAUGGGACCUUGCAUCCGGCCGCUCCUAACCGUCCCUCACCGGACAACAUCUUCUUGACCUCGGGCCUCAAAUCAGGUAGGACUACCCGCUGAACUUAAGCAUAUCAAUAAGCGGAGGCU